rnacentral:rRNA from 1 species
GACGAACGCUGGCGGCGUGCCUAAUACAUGCAAGUAGAACGCUGAAGGAGGAGCUUGCUUCUCUGGAUGAGUUGCGAACGGGUGAGUAACGCGUAGGUAACCUGCCUGGUAGUGGGGGAUAACUAUUGGAAACGAUAGCUAAUACCGCAUAAUAGCAGUUGUUGCAUGAUAACUGUUUGAAAGGUGCAAUUGCACCGCUACCAGAUGGACCUGCGUUGUAUUAGCUAGUUGGUGGGGUAACGGCUCACCAAGGCGACGAUACAUAGCCGACCUGAGAGGGUGAUCGGCCACACUGGGACUGAGACACGGCCCAGACUCCUACGGGAGGCAGCAGUAGGGAAUCUUCGGCAAUGGACGGAAGUCUGACCGAGCAACGCCGCGGGAGUGAAGAAGGGUUUCGGAUCGUAAAGCUCUGUUGUAAGAGAAGAACGAGUGUGAGAGUGGAAAGUUCACACUGUGACGGUAUCUUACCAGAAAGGGACGGCUAACUACGUG